rnacentral:lncRNA from 1 species
UAUGACUACUAGCAAAAUAAAGUCAUUUGUUAGGUUUUAAACUAAUUUUUAAUUAACUAAAAUAAACAAAUAAAGAUGCAAAGUUUUUUUAUCAGAAUGAUGAUGAAGGUGAGAGAUAGAGUUUUUGAGCAUGUUGAGAACUGCUAAACAGAAUAUCAAAAAAGGAAAGGGGAAGAUCAUCAUGAUGGUCAAAAGUGGAAAGUUCAAUAAGUAGUACAAGAAAUCUAAACAUAAGAGUAACAGGAAGGGCACGAAAGUUGCCAAGCCCAAACCUGCUACCCAUGCUUCGAAGUCUCUAAGGCAGUGGGGGCUAAGGAGGACACAUGUUUCCAGUGCAGUAACACCAAACAUUAGAAGAGGAACCGUCCAAAGUACUUGGAAGAUAAGAAGAGUAAAAUUACAUUAGAUUAAUACUUAAUUUAAACUACUUUCAAAUCAACCUUCAAAUUGACCAAC